rnacentral:rRNA from 1 species
AGAGUUUGAUCCUGGCUCAGGACGAACGCUGGCGGCGUGCCUAAUACAUGCAAGUCGAACGCUUCUUUCCUCCCGGGUGCUUGCACUCAAUUGGAAAGAGGAGUGGCGGACGGGUGAGUAACGCGUGGGGAAUCUGCCUUUGAGCGGGGGACAACAUUUGGAAACGAAUGCUAAUACCGCAUAAAAAUUUUAAACACAAGUUUUAAGUUUGAAAGAUGCAAUUGCAUCACUCAAAGAUGAUCCCGCGUUGUAUUAGCUAGUUGGUGAGGUAAAGGCUCACCAAGGCCACGAUGCAUAGCCGACCUGAGAGGGUGAUCGGCCACACUGGGACUGAGACACGGCCCAGACUCCUACGGGAGGCAGCAGUAGGGAAUCUUCGGCAAUGGACGAAAGUCUGACCGAGCAACGCCGCGUGAGUGAAGAAGGUUUUCGGAUCGUAAAACCCUGUUGUUAGAGAAGAACAAGGACGUUAGUAACGGAACGUCCCCUGACGGUAUCUAACCAGAAAGCCACGGCUAACUACGUGCCAGCAGCCGCGGUAAUUC